rnacentral:tRNA from 1 species
GGUAAGAUGGCCGAAGCAGGUGCAAGGUUGUAGCCCUUGUCAUAAAGGUUAGAAUCCUUUUCUUAUCA